CCUACGGGAGGCAGCAGUGAGGAAUAUUGGUCAAUGGGCGGGAGCCUGAACCAGCCAAGCCGCGUGAAGGAAGAAGGCGCCAGGCGUCGUAAACUUCUUUUGUCGGGGAACAAAGGGCGCCACGUGUGGCGUUGUGAGUGUACCCGAAGAAAAAGCAUCGGCUAACUCCGUUCCAGCAGCCGCGGUAAUACGGAGGAUGCGAGCGUUAUCCGGAUUUAUUGGGUUUAAAGGGUGCGUAGGCGGGCCGGAAAGGCAGCGGGAAAAGCCCGGGGCUCAACCCCGGCGAGCCGUUGAAACUGGCGGACGAGAGACGGCGAGAAGUACGCGGAAUGCGCGGUGUAGCGGUGAAAUGCAUAGAUAUCGCGCAGAACUCCGAUUGCGAAGGCGGCCGCCUGGCGUGUUACUGACGCUGAGGCACGAAAGCGUGGGGAGCAAAUAGGAUUAGAUACCCUAGUAGUC
rnacentral:rRNA from 1 species